GUGGAGGCAGACCGUGCGGAAAUGUGUGUGGUGGACCCAGGAGCGAACACAAGCGAGGAUGCAGGAGUGGAGUUAAACAAAAGCGAGCCUUUUAUUCUGGCUGAUGAAAGGAACAAAACAGAGUGAGGGCAGCAUAAGAGUAAUAGUUCAAACAGAAACCUAAACUGGACAUAAACUAAGGAAAAGCUAUGGCUGGAGAUACGGAACACAGGGGGUGGUAACACAGACGACGCGACACAGACUACAUGAAACA